CGCGUCACCCUAGCGCCAUGUUGGAGAGUAUCCACUGAACGUAAGCAGCGUAUGCUGUUCUGUUCUGCUGUUCUUAUGGGAUCCAUACAUCUUAAAGACGAUUACUAAAUAUUUAUUUAAUAUGUGACAGGAAAAUCUUUGAUAAGUAUUGCAGAUGUGCACAUCACAACAUGAAAUAGACAUCGGAGUGAUGUAUGUGUGCUAUUAUGUAGAAUUCACGGUCAACACUGCUUACAUUAGAUAAAUGUCAGUAAUGUAAAUAAACAUAUCUAUAUAAAGUAACUAAACAUGAGUUAUCUGUUUUAUUUGUUCAUUAGUACUACUGAUAAAUUGAGGAGCAUUUGUGUUGGAUAAAAAGAACAGAAGAGACACACGUGUGUUUAUCCGCUGCGGAGUGACUGAUGAAGCAAUGCUGAAUGCUUUGAAGCUUUUGUGGAGCAGGUGAUGGCGGCGUUUGUGAAAAAAAGGGAAAACCUGAAACAAAAUCAUUAUGAUCUGAAAUGUCUGCAGACUGGUGUGAGCUGUGAGGAUGGAGGAGUCCACAGC